rnacentral:rRNA from 1 species
AAUUUGAAAUCUGGCCCCCUCGGGGUCCGAGUUGUAAUUUGUAGAGAGUGCUUCGGAGGAGACCGCGGUCUAAGUCCAUUGGAACAUGGCGUCAUAGAGGGUGAGAAUCCCGUAUGUGACUGUGGCUCGAACCCGUGUGAAGCCUUUUCGACGAGUCGAGUUGUUUGGGAAUGCAGCUCAAAAUGGGUGGUAAAUUUCAUCUAAAGCUAAAUACUGGCUGGAGACCGAUAGCGCACAAGUAGAGUGAUCGAAAGAUGAAAAGCACUUUGGAAAGAGAGUUAAAAAGUACGUGAAAUUGUUGAAAGGGAAGCGCUGGCAACCAGACCUGUCCGUAGGCGAUCAGCCGCUGUUCUCAGUGGUGCACUCGCUCUGCGAUCAGGCCAGCAUCGGUUCCGGCGGUCGGAUAAAGGCCUUGGGAAUGUAGCUUCCCUUCGGGGGAGUCUUAUAGCCCUCGGUGCAAUGCGGCCAGCCGGGACCGAGGACCGCGCUUCGGCUAGGAUGCUGGCGUAAUGGUUGUC